GUGUCAGCAGCCGCGGUAAUACGUAGGGGGCUAGCGUUGUCCGGAAUCAUUGGGCGUAAAGCGCGUGUAGGCGGUUCGGUAAGUCCGCUGUGAAAGUCUGGGGCUCAACCCUCGAAUGCCGGUGGAUACUGUCGGACUAGAGUACGGAAGAGGCGAGUGGAAUUCCCGGUGUAGCGGUGAAAUGCGUAGAGAUCGGGAGGAACAUCAGUGGCGAAGGCGGCGUUCUGGACUGUUUCUGACACUGAGAGACGAAAGCCAGGGGAGCAAACGGGAUUAGAUACCCCGGUAGUCC
rnacentral:rRNA from 1 species